GGAUGUGAGGGUGAUCUGGCUGUGACAUCUGUCAUCCCAUUGAUCACCAGGAUUGAUUUGGCUGAUCUGGCUGGCUAGGCGGGUGUCCCCUUCCUCCCUCACCGCUCCAUGUGCGUCCCUCCCAGAGCUGUGUGCUCAGUCGAAGAAGAAGAAAGAGAGUGGAAGACCACAGAUAGAUAGGGAGAGAAUC
rnacentral:snRNA from 1 species